CCGGCGGUCCCGCGCCGGCGCCGUCCAGGAGCGCAUCAGGAAGUAUGUCGUCGUAGGACAGGACGCCCACGGCCCAGCCCCGCUCCCGCCGCAGCCAGUGAGCAAGGACGCGCGCGAAAGUCGACUUUCCUGCUGCGGUCUAAAAUGCGGGCAUUCACCAAUGAUGAUCUUGUCUUGGCUGAAACACCUGAUACCAGCUUCUACAUGGGCAUCAACCAUCAUCCUGUCAACCUUGCUAAACCCCAAUGCAGAGCCCCCUUUCAUCAGGAAGUAGUAAGAAAGAGACUUCACCCUUUUCCUAACAAUACAAAGAUGGGAAAGAAAGGUUCUUGCCUCAGUAGAAAUUAUGGCAGUGGUCUAACGAGGCAGAAGGCCAAAGCGGGACGCCUACCACUUUCUGCUUCUUCCCCAGGGUCCUGUUUGCAUGUGAAGCAAAUGUAAUUGGCUGCUUGCGUGUCAGCAAUGCCUGCCCUAAGCGCCACCCCAGUCGAAAAUUAUAUGUAUAUCCCAUGCCCCACAUUUUCUGGCAUAAAAAGCCAGGCCCUGGCAGUCAUGGAGUUCUCUCCACGUCCUUAGAAUAAAGGCUCUUUUUCACUUUAUAUUAUCUCUUUUAUCAUGCCAAAAACUCUUUCAGUUUUACUCUAUAAGUCCCUGGAAAAGACAGAACCCUUGGCAACUUGCUUGGGUCCCCUUCUGUCUCUGACAGAAGCAUUCUUUCUCUCAAUAAAUAUAUUCUACUCUUCACCUCCAUUGUUCCUAAAAUUCAUUCUUCAGUCUUAGAGAACACAAGCUCGUGGACAUAGUAGGUUGGGAGUUUCAUUCAUAUAUCAAAAGACAAAAGAGGCCUUUAUUGUGGGCAUAGAGAUCUGGAGAAGAGAUGCAAGCACUUUCAGCACAAAGAAGUGAAAGUAUUUUUAUCAGGUUUGGCUGGAAGGGCGAAUUUGAGAGAUGGGCAAAAUAACACAUCAACAGUUGAUUUAAAGGACCAUCUGCAUGCGCAAAACCGGAAACAGGAUUUACUAGGGGCUGUGGUUGAAGCUCUUGGAUGGUUGUGGAGUCUUGGGGUUGGAGAGGACUCCGCACACAAACAAAAAGGGAACAGGAGGUUUAUUUCUGAAACUAGAAGGAAAACAUGGAAGUUACUCUUAGGUAAGUUGCUUCUCUGGGCCCGGUAUCAAGUUGGGCAGAUGUUAUAUUAGGGAUAGCUAAGCCUGUGGUUAGAAGAAUCUAUUACAUUUCAUGGUAACAAAACCAUCAUGUGGAUUUUACUUACAGCUAAUGAUUAAGAAAGCAAAGGAAGCCAGGGACUUAGCUCAGCAGCAUAAGUGCCUGCCUUGCAUGAGGUCAUGAGUUCGAUCCCCAGUACAAAAAAAAAAAACAAGAAAAUGAAAAAGGGGGGAUGUCUUCUUUGCCUUGUAAGUAGUGCCUGGGUGUCAGUCUCCAGGCCCGCUGAUGUCUAGCUUUUUGCACAACAUUGGCUGUGAAUCCCAUAAUGCAAGUCAAGGAUAUGAGCAGUGGUAAAGGGCAGGAAAGUAGCAUUAACAAGCAUGGCUAUGUAGGGACAGACAAAAAAUUUCAAGAUGUCUUCUUAGGACCUAUAGAAGUCUUGGGGUUUUAUAUUGUAUAUGUGCUAGCAAGUGAGCACAUUUGGGGUUUUAUGGAAAAGGAGGAUAAAGUUGGAGGUUCAUACAUCUGUUGGGGGGAGUGUUGGAGUCACGUAUCUGUUGGCACCAUAGGUAAUCCUGGUGAGGGGGCUGGGGAUUUAGCUCAGCGGCAUAAGCACCUGCCUUGCAAGCAGGCAGUCACGAGUUCGAUCCCCGGUACCGAUAAAAAAGAAAAAGACAAAAAAAAAAAAAAAUUUCUGGUAAUCCUGGUGAGACUAUUACUUCAAGACUGGUAUUCCUCAAGGAUAGAUUAUUUCAAAUGAAUCAUUUGAAAUGUGUCUUUGGGAAAAUUAUUUUUAAAAGGAUGUUUAAAAUCUUUUUUGUGUUGUGCUAAUGAUUAAGGAAGCAGCGGAAAGUGGAGAGGUCAUGUCCUCUUUGCUAGGAACCACCUAGAAAAUUACUAUAGUUCACUUCGGCCGUGUGUGAGACAACUGGCACAUGGGACAGCAACCUGGGGAGAUGUACCCUGAAUGUGAACAACACCAUCCAAUAGGGUUCAGCCCAGGAGGAAGAGGGUAGCAGGAGAAAGAGGCCUGCCAUCAGUCCUCUUUCUCCUAGCUCCUCCCACCAUCCUGAUUGCCUUCUUCACCCAUGCCCUUCCACCAUGUUUCAGCCUUGCCACAGUCCUCAAGCAAUAGAGAAGGUUGGCCACGAACAGAAACCUCUGAAAAGGAAUUGAAACCCUGAAAGAGGAAAUAAAUAUUCUCUCUUUUAAAUUGCUCUUCUCAGAAAGUUUGUCACAGUAGUGAAAAGCUGACUACUACAGAAUUACAAAGUCAAAAUAUAAAUGCCUAUGUGUAAUACCAACCAUUCCAGUUUAUACAAUCAUUGUGCAGAUGGAACGUAGCUGUUUUUUGAAAAAGACAAAAGGACUCUACCAUCCACAUUAGGGGAUAUAAGGAGAUUCCCUGGGAUCUGGAAGUAAAUGCUGUUUUCCAUGUAGUUGGGGUGUGUGGGUGUCAGGGUCCUCAGUAUCCUGCCUAUUGAAUCUUUAGAGGCUGAGUAGUAAGGGGAAAGAAGCUGUCUUUGUUUAUUUCUCCUUCAGGUAGGUGGACACUGAGGCAGUAAGCCCUACUUCCCUGAUUGAUAGGCAAUAUGUCUGUAGCUGUUGCAUGAUACAGUGCCCAAAGCUCAAAUACAAGGUGCCAGCAAAGGAGCUACAGAACUUUGGUAAAAAAAAAUGUAGAAAGUAGGGGCUGGGAAUUUAGCUCAGCGGCAUAAGCGCCUGCCUUGCAAGUAGGCAGUCGUGUGUUCGAUCCCUGGUACUGAUAAAAAGGAAAAAGACAAAAAAAAUGUAGAAAGUGAUUUGGUAAGCCUAAACUUACUAAAUUUUGAUUUUGUAACCCCAGGUAGUUGGGACAGCUACUUGAAACAGAAAUGAGGAAAACCCGCUUAUCUGCAUUGGGUAGCUCUGCCUCCCUGUGUUACUUUGCCUUCUCCAUUUACAUCCAUCCACCUUAAGUGCCUUAAGGAAAAAAGCUGAGUGCAGAACGUUGGAAAGCUUUGAGAAGAGAAAGUACGCAGAGCUUUAUUGCUCAGUUGGAUAUUAGUGCCCACAUUUAGACUAACUUGGUCUUUGGAACACUGCCAGUAAUCAUACAGAGUAAUAAAUAAUCCAAAAAGCAUUCCUACCGUCAAUGGAGACAUCCCAGAGCCAAUUUUGCCCUCACAUACAAACCUAUGUCCUAUCCCAGUGAUGCUGUAUGGACAGCAAUAAUUUUCCCAGUAAUGAUGGAUGACAGCAUGUACACACUAUUGCCAACCAGAGAAGCUAAUUGGAGUCAUGGUGUACUAGGUUUUUACCAGAGUUGGUUACAGGCAUGGGACCUGUGCCAUAUUUAUUAUCUUCAGCCCGUCCAGAGGUUAAACUAAUACUGUGAUUCCAGCAUGGUCCUUCACUAUAAACCAUAUUGUUGAUAUAAACUAUCUCGAAGGGCCUAAAGAAUUCUAGAUUUAUACAAAGAUAUGCUUACCUGGAAGGAUAUUCCAGUAGCUUAGAGGUUAUCUCCUAUGAACUGUUAAGAGGCAGCUUUGAGACGCCCAGAUUGUCUGAAUUAACCCUUUCCUGCAUUAUAGUUUUAGGACAAGAAAGCAUCACACAGGUGAUAAUAUUAGUGUGGACAUAGACUCAACUAGUUUAAAACCUUUAUAAGUAUUGCUAUAUUUUUUUUUCAGACAGGCUGUACUAAAAUUUGUAUACAGAUCAACAAUGUUGGUAACCAUGGAUAGGUUAUAAAUGUGGUAGAAGUGAAGAGUGCUAAUAAUAAAAAUAAGGGAAAGGACAGGGUAGGGUGGUCAGUUUUUUCCCCUCUCUUCAGUUGCAGGCUUGGUAUUAAGGCAGGGUGAGAAAGAAUUCCACAGCUUUGGGACCUGCAAGGAAUGGAGGAGGAAAGGAAGGGAAGAAGUAAAAUGCAAGUGGACCUAGCUGGGAGAAAUUAAAUUCCCAUAACUACCUUACUGGGAAGUAUAAUCCUAGGUAGAAGAUAGGUCAUAUAUAAGAAGAAUGUAAUUUAAAAUUAAGAUGAUUUAGAAAGAAAAAGCAAAACUAAAUAAAUAAAGAUGGCCUAAAUAGUUGCUCAAGAAAAUCAAUAAGUAAGUCACUUUCUUCUAAAAUGUUCCUUUCCAAUAUGUACUGGCUCACAUUCUGAUUCUGUUUGAGACAGGGCUGGUUUUAAACUCAUGAGCUCAAAUAAUAUACUCACCCUAGUCUCUCAAGUUGUUGAGAUUUUAGGCAUGUGUCACUAUACCCAGAUGAAAACAGGUUGAAAUAUGCUUGUCAUGGUUUAUGUCAGUGGCCCCAAGCCUCAUGCAGUUAUGUGUUUGUGAUUGGUUCAUUGUCUAGCGUUCAGCUUGGUUGGAGCAGGAUAUGAUGUAAUGGCGGGAAGGUCUCUCUCUCUCUCUCUCUCUCUCUCUCUCUCUCUCUCUCUCUCUCUCAUCAGUUUCCAGCUUGACAUUUGCAGCUGCCAUGAACUGUGGCCCUGUCAUGCCACCCUGCCUUGGAGCCAACUGAGUAUGGACUGAAACCUCCAAGAACUAUAUGAAAUAAACCUUUCCUUCCUUCA